AGUGGCGGACGGGUUAGUAACACGUGAGCAACCUGCCUCGAAGCGGGGGAUAGCCUUUCGAAAGAGAGAUUAAUACCGCAUGUGACCCACGGGUUAAAGGUGCCUUCGGGUGCCGUUUCGAGAUGGGCUCGCGGCCUAUCAGCUUGUUGGUGAGGUAACGGCUCACCAAGGCGACGACGGGUAGCUGGUCUGAGAGGACGAUCAGCAACACUGGAACUGAGACACGGUCCAGACACCUACGGGUGGCAGCAGUCGAGAAUCAUUCACAAUGGGGGCAACCCUGAUGGUGCAACGCCGCGUGGAGGAUGAAGGCCCUAGGGUCGUAAACCCCUGUCAUAUGAGAGUAAGGCAUAUGUGUUAAUAGCAUGUAUGUUUGAUAGUAUCAUAAGAGGAAGGGACGGCUAACUUCGUGCCAGCAGCCGCGGUAAUACGAAG
rnacentral:rRNA from 1 species